rnacentral:rRNA from 1 species
UUGUUGGGUCUAAAACAUCCGUAGCUUGCUUUUUAAGUCCCAUGUGAAAUCUGGCCUCUUAAGGGUCGGGCGAGCAUGAGAUACUGUUAAGCUAGAGACCGGGAGACGUAAGAAGUACGGACGGGGUAGCGGUAAAAUGUGUUGAUCCCGUUUGGACUAACAACAGCGAAGGCAUCUUACGAGAACGGAUCUGACAGUGAGGGAUGAAGGCUAGGGGCGCAAAGUGGAUUAGAUACCCAUGUAGUCCUAGCAGUAAACACUGCACACUAAACAUUGGGGCCUCUUCGAGAGGUUUCAGUGCUGUAGAGAAGUCGGAGAGUGUGCUACCUGGGAAGUAUAGUCGCAAGGCCGAAACUUAAAGGAAUAGGCGGGGGAGUACUACAACGAGUGACGCGUGCGGUUCAAUUAGAUUCUACACCGUGAACCUCACCAGGAUCGACAGCAGAAUGAAGGUCAGUCUGAAGGGCUUACCUGACACGCUGCGAGGAGAUGCAUGGCCGACGUCAGCCUGUGCCGUGAGGUGACCAGUUAAAUCUGGUAACAGGCGAGACCCAUAU